rnacentral:rRNA from 1 species
UACAGAGGUGGCAAGCGUUGUUCGGAAUUACUGGGCGUAAAGGGCGCGUAGGCGGCCUACUAAGUCAGACGUGAAAUCCCUCGGCUUAACCGGGGAACUGCGUCUGAUACUGGAUGGCUUGAGUUCGGGAGAGGGAUGCGGAAUUCCAGGUGUAGCGGUGAAAUGCGUAGAUAUCUGGAGGAACACCGGUGGCGAAGGCGGCAUCCUGGACCGACACUGACACUGAGGAGCGAAAGCCAGGGGAGCAAACGGG